rnacentral:rRNA from 1 species
CCUACGGGAGGCAGCAGUGGGGAAUUUUCCGCAAUAGGCGAAAGCCUGACGGAGCAACGGAGCGUGAGGGAGGAAGGUCUUUGGAUUGUAAACCUCUUUUCUCAAGGAAGAAGUUCUGACGGUACUUGAGGAAUCAGGCUCGGCUUACUCCGUGCCAGCAGCCGCGGUAAUA